GCGCCGCUACGAGCAGCAACGGACCGGCAAGGCCGACGCGCUUCGCUCGCAAAAACACGAAAUCCACAAUGGGUUUGAAAGUUAAGUUCUAGUUUGGGUGUUUCUACAAUUCACCGGUCUUCGCGGGUGCAGCUGGUCGGACACAGUGGGCACGAGAAUAAGUGAGACAUACUUUGUGUGGGAGAUGCAAAGUUUUGAG